rnacentral:lncRNA from 13 species
CUGCCCGCCCCCACCAGGGAUGGUCUAGCCGACACCGCAAUCAAGCGCUCACCCCACCUAAAACCAGGGCCAGCUGGGUCCUUGGGAUGCCUCCAAAGACAUCAUGAGGUCCCUCUCAGUGCCCCCAGCCCUCCACCCAGCCCAGCCAAACACGCACCCACCAAACCCCAGGGAGGCAACUCAGCCCUCCCUCCUCCAGGGGGCGCUCUCCAGCCCACGCAGACAAUGGACUGGAGGCACUUUCAGGACACCAAGGUGCCCUUGGAGACAGAAACCCAGCAGGAGCCCCACGCCCAGUGGAGAGGCCUCCGCCCUGCUUCUGAAGCGGCAGGCGCUGGCCUCAAUAAUCCCCCAGCCGUGGGCCGAGUUGGCAUCCUCCGACCCCUGCGGCCACUGCCAGGCCCUCUGGGAUCUAAGCAUUGGUCAACAGUCCAGCCUCACAGAACAGCUCGCGGGACCCUAGCCUCCCACCAACCUAGAAAGGAUCUAAGUCCCAACGGAGAGUGCAGUCACUCAGAAGACGGAGCACCAAUACCCAACCCUUCUCUAGGGCUUCUCUAAAAGAAUACAAAGGGCAACUUCUUUCACAGAGAAUCAGAACCUACCUUAGAAGUUUCUUGCCUUCUUUAUGCUGGGAGGAAGGUAUCAGGGACAGGAAUCGGUGAAGAGAUGGGGAGAAGAAUCUUAUUGCCUUAGAUGAAAAUGCUCCUGUGAGCUCUGGCCAGACUAGAGGCCCUUGGCUGCUGCCUACAGUGGCCUGAGAUCCUAGCUCAGAUUAUCUGAUUGAAUCUGGUCCUAACCUUAGUCUACUCUUUAGUCCCCUAAGCCUGAUCCAGCCUUGAUCUGAGUACAACCAUACCUCAAAUUGUCUUUUUGACCAACCUUGCAUUGACAUUCUCAGAUGCUAUAGUUUUUUCUAUAAAUUCUUUUGGCUAAAUGGAUGAAAGUACCACUAGCUGAAUUUUCAAUAAAUUUCAAGUACAGGUCA